rnacentral:tRNA from 1 species
GCGGAAGUAGUUCAGUGGUAGAACAUCACCUUGCCAAGGUGGGGGUCGCGGGUUCGAACCCCGUCUUCGGCU